rnacentral:rRNA from 1 species
UGGGGGAUAUUGCACAAUGGGCGAAAGCCUGAUGCAGCGACGCCGCGUGGGGGAUGAAGGCCUUCGGGUUGUAAACUUCUUUUGCUCUGAACAAGGCAUGCUAAUGGGUGUGUUGAGUGUAGGGGUUGAUUAGCGCCGGCUAACUACGUGCCAGCAGCCGCGGUAAUACGUAGGGCGCGAGCGUUGUCCGGAAUUAUUGGGCGUAAAGGGCUUGUAGGUGGCUGGUUGCGUCUGUCGUGAAAGCUCAUGGCUUAACUGUGGGGUUGCGGUGGGUACGGGCUGGCUUGAGUGCAGUAGGGGAGGCUGGAAUUCCUGGUGUAGCGGUGGAAUGCGCAGAUAUCAGGAGGAAUACCGGUGGCGAAGGCGGGUCUCUGGGCUGUUACUGACACUGAGGAGCGAAAGCAUGGGGAGCGAACAGG